GUUCAAGGGAACGGAGUGCGCGUUGUUGUGCGAGAAAAUAAAACGUGGUUUAUAUCAAAAAUUAAUUAAAAACCUUGAAAACCGCGUGUUAACGUAUUGUUCGCGUCUGCUGGGUAGGAUCGAACAAGAAAUUAGGCGGUAUUAAGUUAGGCACUCAUCUGGAAAAACCUACCACGUGUGUGUCGCUGUAAACGAACAGGUAAAUUUCCAGCUAAGUUGGCUCUCGAACGAAUUUUAAUUUACACGUUUAGCAGGAUUCCCAUCCCACUAAACGUGGGCGCUAGUCUGGAGUACGUUAACCUCAAAAUACUAGCCGGCCGAUCAAAUAAAGCUGAUCGGAAGUGGUACCUUGAGCCUGUAAGGUGCCUAAAGGGAGUCGGUUCGUUCGUUGGUGUCGUCGGAAGUAUCGGAGUCGGUCGUCUGUUGGAACUUCGCCAAAAAACGCUUGAGUGCAACGAUUUGGCCGUGGUGAUCACUUGGGCGAUCCACGGUCACCGGUGUCCGUUCAACUUAGCACUUGCAAGCUGUUCCACCGACCUGGCCUUGAAGACUACCAACCACAAGAAGCCUGUCUGUUUUCCUCCGUACCGGGAGAGGUCGGGAAUUUUCGUUCGUCGUCGCGCAUUUGCGACUGCCUGGACAAGAGCUCAACUGUUAAAGAGCCUCGUGGGUGACUCGGACGCGAGUUCAUGUGUCUCGUGCCUGCUGACCAAGCCAACCAGGUCAGUGGUGUCCAGACUGAUUGUUGCAGAUUACGGGCGGGAAGGACCGCCGCUUGAAAAUGGAGUCAUCACAUCGUUCCGGAAGCCGCAAGAGAGAAAAUCAUAGAAGGUCAGACCAAACCAUGUUAAAUUUUUAUACCCAAUAUUAUGUAACAGUUUAGAAGAGGGGGCCCCUUACCUCAUUAAUGAGAAUACAAAAAUGUACUGUUAGCUAAAAUCUCAAA